rnacentral:lncRNA from 1 species
AGGCCCUCCAUUCCAGGUUUGGGCUGGCUGGCUCUUCCCCACCCUAUGCCUGGGUCUCAACUUUCCUUCCUAUGUGAGCCUGGCCUCUGAUCUCAGGAGGGGAAACUGAGGCUGGCACUUGCUGACACCCAGCCAUCAAGAGCAUCUUUAAGGAAGUAUCUUUUCUUUAUGAGGGGCCUUUCUCCAUCAGUAUCCCCUGCUGGGACUUACAGAUGUGAAUGUAGGGGAUCGUAGAGGUGGGUCUGUGAGAAGGAGGAAGGGAGUAAGUAUGAGUUUUUUGUGUAUGGGGAGCUGUGGCUGAGGGCCUGGCCAAUCUUAGUGCUGGUUCAAACGCAUGUGAGGCUAUCUUCUUGCAUAAACUGGUGGGUGUUUGGCACAUAUAUGUGUUCAUGUCUUAUCUUAGGGGCAUAUACGUACUUACUUGUCUGUGUCCAGAGGGAAGAGCUGUGUAUCAGUAUGUGUGAAUGUGUGUGCACACAUGAUUCCGUGUGCAUGUCACACCCUCUGUAUGCAUGGAGUGCAUUCUUGUCUCGCGGAACUCUGCACACAUAGUAAAUAUUUUGCUGUCGGUUUAUCUUGGCUUCCACAUGUCUCUCUGUCUCAGCUGCCCUUGGUCUGUGGUAUGUGGCUGUGAGCCUUUGCCUCUGCAUCCUGCCUGGAAUGUCACCCCCAGCAUCCUUCCCCACCUUACCCCAAGACUUGAAGACAUAUUAAUCUCAGGCUCAAGGUGGAAGUACCCAGAGAUGAGGUCACUGUCCCUCCAGGUGAUGGGAACUUGCCAUUAAGGACUCCCCAGCAGAACAAAACAAAUGUUCCCUCUCCCCUUGCUCCUCAGGUUCCUACUAAAAGGACUGCCAACCUUCUCACCACUACCCCCAGCCACUCCCCUGGGCCCCUCAGCAGCUCUGGCCCCCCAAGGAGGCCUCUCCCUGGGAAUCUCUGUCAGGGCUCUGCUGCUGCCACCACCAGAAAAACCAGCUCUGGCUCCAGGCCUGGCCAGACCCAGUGACCCUUCCAACACCCCAGCACCCCACUUCAGCCAGGCCUGGACCAUCACAGAGUCAUCGUAUUUCAGAGCUGGAAGGUCAAUAGAGAUCAUCUGGUCCUAGCUCUCGGUCUACUGAAGUCUGGUUUCAUCGCUGCCCAAGGUUACCAAAUAGAUUAAUAGCAGAAACGGGAUCUGGACCAAGACUCCUGACUUCCCAGUCCAAGGAUUUUUUCAGAGACAUGAAACAUUCCAGGUUCCUGGGAGCCAUUAAGGAGAGUCUACACACAGAAGAGCCAGAAUGGGGGUGGUAGUGGAGGUAGGACCAUCUGAUCCUCAGGCUAGGAGCCUCCAGCCCCCAGAGCAACCUCAGCUCUGUGCAGGUUGUAGCUGCUGCAGCAGCAGCAGAGUGGCCUCCUACCAGGUGCCAGCUUCCUGGGGCAAUCUGGAGCCAGGCUUCCUCCCUUACUGCCAGGCAUUGCAUGAGGUCUAACUAGAAGGGGGUCUCCUGUCCCCUUCCCUGGGCUUCUCUUAGUAAGAACAGUUUUGCCAUCAUGGAAAAGAAAGGCAAGAACCAUGUGAUGCAGUCACCAUUGCAUCUCCAGCAUCUAGUAUCCAGGUUGUACCCAGUGUGCACUCAAAUGUACUAUUCUUCAAUGAACUUAGAGUGAGAACACCAAGACA